CACCUGUGUCAUCCCAAAUGCCUGAGGAAAUGUUUCCUGUUAGUGUAUAUUAUGGAUGGAAUUGUAUUCUCCCCAAAUUCAUGUGUUGAAGUCCUAGCCCUCAGUACCUCAGGAUGUUGACUGUAUUUGGAAAUAGGGCUUUUAGAGAGGUGGAACCAAUUCAUAUUGGGAUAUGAUUUCUAAAAGUAAGUGAGGUUUAUUGAAUUACUGAGGAGUUUUACAAAUGAUAUAAAAUCUUUAAAAGUUAACCGCACCAAUGAUUACCGACGCCUUUUAAAGACUGUAGGACUCAAAAAGAAAAUUACCCCUUCGCCUAUCAGCAGAGUCCGAUGAGUGGAGAGCAGGGUCAAGGUCUCUGCCACCAGUCU